rnacentral:rRNA from 1 species
CCUGGCUCAGGAUGAACGCUAGCGGCAGGCUUAACACAUGCAAGUCGAGGGGCAGCGCGGGGUAGCAAUACUCUGGCGGCGACCGGCGAAAGGGUGAGUAACGCGUGAGCAACAUGCCCGAUAGAGGGGGAUAGUCAUUGGAAACGAUGCGUAAUACCCCGUAACAUUCGGAACCGCAUGAUUCUGAAUUGAAAGAUUUAUUGCUAUCGGAUUGGCUCGCGUACCAUUAGCUAGUUGGCGGGGUAACGGCCCACCAAGGCGACGAUGGUUAGGGGUUCUGAGAGGAAGGUCCCCCACAUUGGAACUGAGACACGGUCCAGACUCCUACGGGAGGCAGCAGUGAGGAAUAUUGGACAAUGGCCGAGAGGCUGAUCCAGCCAUGCCGCGUGCGGGAGGACGGCCCUAUGGGUUGUAAACCGCUUUUGUUGGGGAGCAAUAAGUCUUACGUGUAAGAUGAUGAGAGUACCCAGCGAAUAAGCAUCGGCUAACUCCGUGCC